GCGCAGAUAUCAGGAGGAACACCAGUGGCGAAGGCGGUUCUCUGGGCCUUUCCUGACGCUGAGGAGCGAAAGCGUGGGGAGCGAACAGGCUUAGAUACCCUGGUAGUCCACGCUGUAAACGGUGGGUACUAGGUGUGGGGUCCAUUCCACGGGUUCCGUGCCGUAGCUAACGCUUUAAGUACCCCGCCUGGGGAGUACGGCCGCA
rnacentral:rRNA from 14 species